CCUACGGGAGGCAGCAGUAGGGAAUCUUUCACAAUGGGCGAAAGCCUGAUGGAGCAACGCCGCGUGCAGGAUGAAGGCCUUCGGGUUGUAAACUGCUUUUAUAAGCGAGAAAUAUGAUGGUAACUUAUGAAUAAGGAUCGGCUAACUACGUGCCAGCAGCCGCGGUCAUACGUAGGAUCCGAGCAUUAUCCGGAGUGACUGGGUGUAAAGAGUUGCGUAGGUGUCAUAAUAAGUAGCUAGUGAAAGCUGGUGGCUCAACCAUUCAGACUAUUAGCUAAACUGUUAAGCUCGAGACCGUUAGGGGUAACUGGAAUUUCUAGUGUAGGAGUGAAAUCCGUAGAUAUUAGAAGGAACACCAAUAGCGUAGGCAGGUUGCUGGGACGGUUCUGACACUAAGGCACGAAAGCGUAGGGAGCAAACGGGAUUAGAUACCCCAGUAGUC
rnacentral:rRNA from 1 species